CAGCAGCCGCAGUAAUACGUAGGGUGCGAGCGUUAAUCGGAUUUACUGGGCGUAAAGCGUGCGCAGGCGGCCCGUUAAGACAGGUGUGAAAUCCCUGGGCUCAACCUAGGAAUUGCGCUUGUGACUGGCGGGCUCGAGUACGGUAGAGGGGGGUGGAAUUCCUGGUGUAGCAGUGAAAUGCGUAGAGAUCAGGAGGAACACCGAUGGCGAAGGCAGCCCCCUGGGCCUGUACUGACGCUCAUGCACGAAAGCGUGGGGAGCAAACAGGAUUAGAUACCCUGGUAGUCCACGCCCUAAACGAUGGGUACUAGCCGUUUGGUGCAUUGAAGCGCUGAGUGGCGAAGCUAACGCGUGAAGUACCCCGCCUGGGGAGUACGGCCGCAAGGUUGAAACUUAAAGGAAUUGGCGGG
rnacentral:rRNA from 1 species